CCAGCAGCUGCGGUAAUUCCAGCUCCAAUAGCGUAUACUACCGUUGUUGCAGUUAAAAAGCUCGUAGUUGGAUUUGUGGCGGCUCUUGCGGUCCAAAAUGUUUUGGUACUGUCGAGAGCAGCCAUCCUUGGGUGGAACCAGUUUGGCAUUAGGUUGUCGGGCUGGGGAUGCCCAUCGUUUACUGUGAAAAAAUUAGAGUGUUCAAAGCAGGCUUACGCCGUUGAAUAUAUUAGCAUGGAAUAAUAAGAUAGGCCUCCGGUACUAUUUUGUUGGUUUGCGUGCCGAAGGAAUGAUUAAUAGGGACAGUUGGGGGUAUUCGUAUUCCAUUGUCAGAGGUGAAAUUCUUGGAUUUCUGGAAGACGAACUACUGCGAAAGCAUUUACCAAGGAUGUUUUCA
rnacentral:rRNA from 1 species